CUGAAGUGCAAAAGGCAACAGCUGAAAAGCCUGAGGGAGGAGAAGAAGCAUUGUUGGCUGAGUCAGAGGAGAAAAUAGCUUUGAAUACUGAGGAGAUCACUGAAAAACCCCAAGAGGAGGAGGAGAAGGUCACUGAAAAGCCUGAGGAGCAGGAGGAGGUCAUUGAAACACCCCAAGAGGGAAUUGCACCAGGGAAAGCAAAUGGGACAGUGGAUGACAGUAAGCAAGAGAUAGAAGAUGCUGUGAUUCCUGAUGCAAAUGGAGGAGCUGAGAAAGUGAACCUGAACCCAAAUGUGGAGGAGACGAACAAUAGCAGAGAAAUCCCAGUAAGUGAUGGAAAGAACAGCAUUCAAGCAGAGGAGCAAGUAAAUAAAAUGGUGGACAAUGGACAGGUUAUUUGGAGCUGUGCUCAGUGAAAGUGUAUCUGCAUUGAUCUUCUUCAUCUUGUAGUUUAAGGUGCUUAAACAUAGGUGGUGACUUUUGUAAUGGUAUUUAAGUUGGUGUAGCUGUUUUAUGAGCUCCUGGAUUAUUAUUGUAGUUUUGUACUGUUUCUUCAGAUUUGGUUGUAAUUAGGAUGAACACAAACGCGUCCUAGACUAGAUCUUUUGGGUUUCCAUAACCAAGUUAUGAACGAUCCUUGUAGGCUUUUGCACACAUUUGUGUUAGGAAUUAAAUGUUUUUGACUUUUACAUUUCUUGGCCUCUUUUCAAUAAUCUUUUUCAGCUACUGAUUGAAAGGGUAGAAACGAAUUUGAGUAUGUUAGAGAUGUUUUUUUAGUAGGAGAAAAAUGUUUUCUUUUUAUGACUGAUUUAAAAAUAUUUUAUUUUUAUUUUUAUCCUAUAAUUUUAAAUUUUUAGAAAAUUAAUAUAUAUUUUUUUAUAUUGUGUUAGAAUAAGAAGUUUUACAAAUAUUUUUUAAAUUAGAAGAAUUAUUAUUAAAAUAAACACGUGCUUCGCGUGGGUAAAAUGAUAAACUUUUGAGCACUAAAAAAACCUGAUUUCUAGACGCCUAUAAUUGCUUGUCUUAUUCAUUUCAAAAUUUGUCAGAAGAGAGCAUUGAUUUCAUAAUAAUAGUGUUAGAUAUUUUCAAUGCUUAAUAAUUUUUUACAUGAAAUAGGUGACGCAUUAUAAUAAAUAAUGCUUUAUUAUAUGUUUUAGGUCAUUUUCGAUACAAGGUUUAUUAUUAUAAUAAAUUAUAAAUUUUCUUACGUGUAGUAAAAAAAGAAGUUUUAAAAGGUUAGGUUUCAAACGUAUAAAAAUAUGAAUUUUCAUAAACAAAUCCUAAAUGACCUGUUGUACCAUAUUGAUGUCAGAGGGUUAUCCACAUCUGAACCUCCAAGGAGUUUGGGAAUGUAAUUUCUGUGCUUUUUCUGCACAACCAAUGGCCCAGGUAGUUGGGGGUUGGUUCCUUAAAAUAAAUGAAAAAAAUAAACUAUAUUCCAAUGGAUAAAAUUUCUGACAGUUCAGGCCACUCCUUAAAUUUAUUUUAUGAACUCUAAUUCUAAUUGAGGGUUAGAUUAAUUUAAGUAAGUAAUUAAUUUAUUUUAUUUAUAUUAAAAAGUGAACUUUAAAUAUAAUUUAAUCUUAUAAAUCUAGAUAAGAUGAGGUUCGUCAGCUCGUGCAUAAACUAUAUAUUUAAUGGUGGUUCAAUAGCGACUCUAUAACGGAUGACCUAAUAAGAUAAAUUCUAAAUGACUUUAAUAACAUAUUAAGAAGUAAACUUUAGAUUUAACUCAAUUUUUUAAAACCGUCUUAUAAAGUGAAGUUUGCACGCACUUAUAUAAUAUAUGAAAUAUUUAGUAGAUAUGAAAUGUUUUGAGUCUAUUAUGAAGUGUAAUUUAAACCUACCUCAACUUUAUAAUUUGUUUAUGAAUAAUCUGGUAAUAGAAGAUCUUAUUAGUUCAACAAACUUUCACUCAAAUAAACUUUAAAUAACUUUAAUAUCAUAUUAAAAAAUAGACUUCAAACCUAUCUCUUUAUGUAAAACUUGAAUCAAACGAAUGAACAUUGAUUUAAUUAAUGGAUUAAUGAUUUUCCAAAUAGGAUCAAACAUUGAGAUGUUGUGCAUGGGCAGUGUUGUGAAGUGUGACCCCAAGCAUGAGGGCACGAAAGGUAUUGAUGACCAAUUUACACAUCCUUGGUGUGUAGCAACGCUGCAGACACAUUGAGUUGAUCAAAAUUGUGAAAAAGGUAUACUUUAAGGAGAGUUAAAGGGUGGUGAAAGGAAGAAUAUAUUCUAAGUCCCUGAAAACAUAUUCUUGUUUUAUAUUUCAGUCAUCUUUUGUUUAAGGCUAAGAAUCUUGUUCAGAUAUUUUUGUGAUCAUCUUUUGUCAAAAAGCUAGGAAUCUUUAGUUUAUGAGGAAAAGUUUUGCAUCACCCCAAGGAUUGCCUAUCAAUUCUUCACCGUUAUUCACUUACAUAAUAUAGGGAACUCACAUCAUUUCCAUGAGUGGAAUGCUCUAUCAUUCUUAACAUCCUCACACUACAGACCAUGUUCUCUUACUCAACUUCCUUCUUUCUUUCCCUUCUCUUCUUCUCUGUAACACUUUCUCAUGGUGUGUUUUCCUCAACUCAUUUUCUCUUUUCCCACUUCAUUUUGGAUAGUUAAUAACAGUUUGCAAUGACACUUUCAUUACAAUUUAAUUUCCAUGCAUGACCAGUAACUGAACCAAUUACAAAAUCAUGAAAAAAAUACUACUUUUAGAGUAGUUAUUUCUGCAUAGAUUAUUUCCUCUUUUAUACCAUGCACAAAGUUUUGUUCAGCAUGUAGUUACUAGAUAUAAAACCGGUUUAUGAAAUGAUGUUUCAACAAUACCCUUUGGCUUGGAAACAAAGUUCAUGUUACUUUUAUGCAUGAAUUGUUUUUUAAUGACAUGGAUUUCAAAUUUUAACCAUGUUUUGAUAUUCUUGUGUGGUGCAGUUGUGGGGGAUAAAAUAUUUACUGGUACAUAUGGAGUAAACUAUGGUAGGAUUGCAGACAAUCUACCUUCUCCUGAGAGUGUGGUCACCCUUCUGAAAGCUUCCAAGAUCAGGAACAUCAGAAUAUAUGAUGCUGAUCAUCAAGUGCUGAGUGCCUUCAAAGGGUCAGGGAUUGGAAUCAUUAUUGGGCUACCAAAUGAGUUUCUGAGAGACAUAAGUCAGGGGGAGGAUCGUGCCAUGAAUUGGAUCAAAGAAAAUGUUCAGCAGUUUCUUCCAGGAACCAGAAUCCGUGGCAUUGCUGUGGGGAAUGAAAUUCUAGGAGGAGGAGAUAUGGGGCUGUGGCAAGUUUUGCUGCCAGCAGCAAAAAAUGUGUACACUGCUCUGUCUAGGCUCAAUCUGGCACACCAAAUUCAAGUUUCAAGUCCUCAUUCUGAGGCUGUUUUUGCAAAUUCCUACCCUCCAUCUGCAUGCACUUUUAGGGAUGAUGUGCUCCCUUUCAUGAAGCCCCUUUUGCAAUUCUUCUCACAAAUUGGCACUCCUUUCUACAUAAAUGCAUACCCCUUUUUGGCCUAUAAAAAUGACCCCCAACACAUUGACAUAAACUAUGCUCUCUUCAAGAAAAAUGCAGGGAUUUAUGAUGCCAAGACAAAGCUGCACUAUGACAACAUGUUCAUGGCUCAAAUUGAUGCAGCUUAUGCAGCCUUGGAGAAGGUUGGGUUUGAGAAGAUGGAGGUGAUUGUUUCUGAGACUGGUUGGGCCUCUCGUGGGGAUGACAAUGAAGCUGGUGCAACAGUGAAAAAUGCAAAGACUUACAAUAAGAACUUGAAAAAGCUCUUGCUCAAGAAAAAGGGCACCCCUUAUAGGCCUAAGAUGGUUGUGAGGGCUUAUAUUUUUGCUCUCUUCAACGAGAAUUUGAAGCCUGGUCCAACUUCUGAGAGAAACUUUGGAUUGUUCAAACCAGAUGGCAGCAUUGCAUAUGAUAUUGGCUUCACUGGACUCACUUCUUCUGCAACCUCCACCUUUCUUUCCUUCAAGGUAUGCUUCCUCUUACACUUUCUAUUACUGAGUAUGAACAUAAUUGGUGGAAAGUGAAUGCUGAUGAUGCAGCAAUUAUGCAUUUGCAGGGUAUUGGAUCUUUAUGUUUCAUGGUUUCUACUAGUUGUGCAGCUUUUCUUCUUCUUGUUGCAUUGUAAGCAAUCAAAAGAUUGAAUGUACAAGUGAAUUCAAUGAUUAAUUCUUUGGAUGUAACAAUUUUCAUAACUCAAAAGCAAUUCAAAUUGUGGAAAUUCCCAUGUAUCUGAUUUCCUUGUCUAGCUCAUUAACCUUUUUUAUAUAUAUAUAUAUUCAUCUUUAAUAUUAUUUACACUCACCAACCAAGUAUUAAUAUUGUUUUCUCCCACUAUUAUAGUGAUUUUAACAUGUUUUUAUACAAUUAUUUCUUUUAAAAAUAAUUUUGUCCCCUACUAUUAUUUAUACUUCUUAAAAAAAAUAACUCUGUACAAAAUUUAGAUUGGAUAAUAAAAAGGGCAAAUAAAUAUCAAUUUUUAACUUUUAUUUAUUACUAUAUUAUAUUCAUGCAGAACAAUUAUUUUCUAAAUAUAUUAUAUUAUUGUAAUGACUUAUGUUAAUCCUUUAGAAUUACAUCAUGAUGAGAUUAUAAUCACUGAAUUAAUAUAUUACAUAUAACUAUAACUAUUUUGAAGUCUAUAGAUUCAAAGUUAUUAUACUUGACGAAAUUCAUUAAAAAUGUAUUAUCAUAAAAAAACUACAGUUAUUAUUAAAAGACAAUCUUAAAAUUUGAAACAUUUUCUUAAUGUUAUUAAUUAUGUGAAAGCAUAUUUUCAUUUUCAAUUAAAUGCAAAAGGGAGAAAAAUGAGAAAAAUAAAUAAAUGUUUGUGGUUGGUAUGUGAAGACUUUGAAAGUAUGGCGUAACGACUAAGGCCGAAGAGUGGCGUUUCCAUCGGUGCGGCCACACCAACCACACGUUAAAGAUAUAAUUCUAAUUUUUCAUGUUUCAAUUUUUUUAAUGAAAAGAAAAAUUAUUUUUGUAAAAAAUUUAUUAUAAAAAUAAAAUUAAAAAUUAAAAAUAAUAGAAUCCAAUUACAUGAAAAACGUUUUAUAAAUUAUUUCAUUAAGGAAAGUAAAAUCAAUUGAAAUAUAAUUAUAAGAAGCGUGAGAUUAUAUAUCAUGUUUAUUAAAUGGCGGAUGUUAUAAUAAAUUCAGCAAAUUUUUGUUAAGAUAGUAUUCUUAUCAAACGCAGUUUAUAUAUUUCCUCUUCCCUCAACUUACCAAGAUAAAUUUUAAAGACAAAAUCAUAAUGGAACAUCGACCUCCAAAAUAAACGGAGGGAUUCUUAUUUGUACAAAUGAUACUUUAAACUUGAAACGAGUAUGAAGAAAUUAACUAUACUUCUUUACCUUUUGAGUUGUGAUAACUUAAUUUUAUAAAAUUAGGAUUUAGGGUUUGGUGAUUAAGAAAAUAAAUAUCAAUACCUAAAAUAUUUUUCCUUUUUUUACAUUCCAUGAAAGUCAAGUUUAUCUUUGACUUGCCACUUUGAUUUCUCCCUUUAUUUAUAGCUUGGCUCUCCAUUCAAAACACUCCAACCAAAAAAGACAAACACAACCACCUUUGCCACUCUUCUCUUCACUUCCAUUUACACAACAAAACAUAUCUUGCAAGAAAUAUGAACAUGAUGAUCAACAACAUGUUUAGUUGUCUCUGUCUUAGUGCAGUGGUGCCAUUUUUAAUGUCUGUGCAGAACACAGAGGCACAGAGCGUGUUCGUGGUUGGAGAUGCCACCGGUUGGACAACUCCACAAGAUUCCUCCACAUACCAAUCUUGGGCUUCUGACAACACUUUUGCAGUUGGAGAUAUUCUGAGUAAGUCUUCUAUUUACACCACCAUUUUUUACCUUAAUUAUCCAUGCUAAAAAGACAAUGAAAAACUACAAUCAAAAUAAUUUUUUGUUUUCUUUAAGUCUUCAAUUUUCAGACAACACAACAUAACGUUGUUCAAGUGUCGGAAGAAUCAUACACAUCGUGCACUUCGAGUAAUCCUAUAGGUACAGUUUAUAACACGGGUCCGGUCAACGUUACUCUUAACAGAACUGGUCAACAUUACUACAUCUGUAGCAUUGGUCAACACUGUACACGUGGACAGAAGUUAGCCAUUAACGUUCUAGCCUCUGCUGUGCCACCUUCCACCGCCACUCCACCGCCGCCUCCACCACCGCCGAUGUCUCUUGCAUCCACUUUUUCUCCUUCUCCCAUUCCCUUCAUCUUCAUAUGUUCAUUAGUUUUUGUGUUUUUUUACGCACACUAUUAAAAAAUUAUUAAAUAAAAUUUAAUUUUAAAAACUAAAAGUAAUUAGUUAUUAUAUUAAUUAAAUUAUAUAUUAUUUUAGAGAUUAAAAAAUUAUUAAUUUUAAAUUAGUUUCUAUUAUUAAUAAAUAACAUUUAAAUUGGUAUCUAAUUAACUAUCAAGAUUUUAAUGAUAAAUUAUCUAGAUUCUAAAUUUAAUAGAAAAAUCUCGAUAGCUAAUUAAAUAUCAAUUUAAAUACUAUUUAUCAAUAAUAAAAAUUAAUUUAUAAAUUAAUAUUUUUUUUAAUUUUUGAAAUAGUAUCUAAUUUACUUAAUAUAACAAUUAAUUAUUUUUUUUUAAAAAAUUGAUUAUAUUUAAUAAUAUUUAGUGUUAAUGCAUCGAGCAUAGGAGGUUUAAUACUAUUUAUGUGUGUGACCUACUAAUAAAUAUUUGUUUACUAUGUUGGAGUUGUAGUAUUAUUCAUUAUAGUUUCAUCAAUAAAAACUUUUAUGUUUUCUAAAUUUAGCUCAAAAGUAAUGGUUGAUGUAAUUUGCAAUAAACUAUAUUCUCAAUUAGUCAAAAGUUUAAUUUAAUUUGGGUAGUUGAGAAAUGCUUAGUUAAGCCAUUUAAUCUUAUUGAAUAUUUAUUUUUCUCGUAAAGUAUUAUGAGAAUUGAAUGAUGAUUUUGCUAACUUUAGUUGUAAAUUAUUUUGAAAAAUUAUUGGAAUAGAUUUUAUAUAGCUUGUUGAUAAUUUCUCAGUCAUUUAAAGUAUAAAAUCACUUCUGUAACAUAAAAGUAAAAAGGGCAUGGAAGAAGAAAAUCUUCAUCUACAUGGUUUAGGAAGAAAAAAUGUAACUACAUUAAAUGCGUCUUUUUUUGCAGACUAAGGACAUUAAAUGUUAAAAAAAAUCAGUAGAUAAUAAGUCCUUUCAUCACUUCAUUUUACAUUUAUUUAAGUGAAAUUUAUAACAAUUGAUGUGACUGAUUCUUAAAUUUAAGACCAAAAUUUAUUUUUUUUAAAAAAAGAAAAAUAAAUCAACUCAAAGUAACACUUGACUGUAUGUUUGGGCACCAAGCCCAAAAUGAGCACUUUUAUUUUAUGGCCCAAUAAAAAUCGGUUGUUUCUUCCACAGUUCCAUAAUUUCUUCUGACACCCCAUAUUUCUUAAAUAUUAAAAAUAUCCUUUAUUCUAUUCUAUUAAAAAAUCUGAAAGGUAUUUUGAAUUUGGAAAUACCUUAAUUUUAUAAUAUAGAAUGUGUUUCUUUUAAAAAAAUACAUCUGAAUUAUGAAUUAUAAAAUCCGUCAGCAAUUUUUGAAUUUAGAAAUAUCUUUCAAAUUUUACAAUUGAGAAUGUGUAAAUUAAAAAAAUACAUUGAUUAUAGAAAAUACCUUUCAAAUUCUAUAAUCCAAAUAGUUUUGCUAACUCUACACCAUAAACAAUUUUAGAGUUAAAGUCAUAUUUUAUAAUACGAUUUUAAAUUUUUUUAAAAAAAUUCACAUAAAAAGUCAUAUUCUAUGAGUACGACUUUGUCAAUUUCAUUAAAAAAAAUCAUGACACUUUUGACAAUUUUGAUUAAACUUAAAAUUAAUUUUAAAUAAAGUCAUACAAGACUUAAAUGAGGAAUUCAAUUAUUUUACCUUGAAAUCAUACUUCUACUCUAAAAUAAAACAUACCCAUAUUUAUAAAUUUUUUUUAACUUAAAAUUGUAAUUUUUUUUAAAAAGAAAAGCAACUAUGCAUGGAUUUGUAUUAUACUUGGGAUGUGGUUUCUAAUAUCAUGUGCUUUUAUCUUUUGCUUUAGUAUGAAUACGUGUCUUUAUUACAAACCUAUUGCAAAACAUGGUCAUCACAAGAAUAUGAUUCUUCAAAUUAAAACUUAAUUUUCAAGAAAGAGGAGUUCAUAUGAUCCUCACAUAAAAUGGU
rnacentral:lncRNA from 1 species